GACGAACGCUGGCGGCGUGCCUAAUACAUGCAAGUCGAGCGGUUCUUGCGCUUUCCUUCGGGAAAGCGCUUGGAUAGCGGCGGACGGGUGAGUAACACGUAGGCAACCUGCCUGUAAGUUGGGGAUAACCUCCGGAAACGGAAGCUAAGACCCGAUAGGAAAUGCUCUCGCAUGGGAGUGUUUGGAAAGGCGGAGCAAUCUGUCGCUUACGGAUGGGCCUGCGGCGCAUUAGCUAGUAGGUGAGGUAACGGCUCACCUAGGCGACGAUGCGUAGCCGACCUGAGAGGGUGAACGGCCACACUGGGACUGAGACACGGCCCAGACUCCUACGGGAGGCAGCAGUAGGGAAUCUUCGGCAAUGGACGGAAGUCUGACCGAGCAACGCCGCGUGAGUGAAGAAGGGUUUCGGCUCGUAAAACUCUGUUGCCAAGGAAGAAGGGUAAGGAGAGUAACUGCUCUUUAUUUGACGGUACUUGAGAAGAAAGCCCCGGCUAACUACGUGCCAGCAGCCGCCGUAAGAC
rnacentral:rRNA from 1 species